CAGGUGCUGGCUGUGCAUCCUCAGCGAGCAGCUAGGGCGUACUCAGUCCGAGUCGGCCAAAGCCGACAACAUCCGUAUCCAGGGAUAUCGAGAAGGGCAGGUUAGGGAUCUUCUUCGUGAAAAGAGUUCAUUUAAAAACCAACCGGACUGGGUUACAGUUCUUGAUGGAUCUCGGGAAGGUGCAUAUGAAUGGAUGUGAUGGUAGGGUGCUGACAUUGGAGGAACAAGCAAGCGAAUCGGGAACAAAUGAGGAAGUUAGACAAGUAAGAUGGAA